rnacentral:rRNA from 1 species
UACGGGAGGGGCUAGCGUUGUUCGGAAUUACUGGGCGUAAAGCGCACGUAGGCGGCUUUGCAAGUUAGAGGUGAAAGCCCGGGGCUCAACCCCGGAAUUGCCUUUAAAACUGCAUCGCUAGAAUUGUGGAGAGGUAAGUGGAAUUCCGAGUGUAGAGGUGAAAUUCGUAGAUAUUCGGAAGAACACCAGUGGCGAAGGCGACUUACUGGACACAUAUUGACGCUGAGGUGCGAAAGCGUGGGGAGCAAACAGG